ACGCUCGACACCUACGGGGGCAGCAGUGAGGAAUAUUGGUCAAUGGGCGCUAGCCUGAACCAGCCAAGUAGCGUGAAGGAUGAAGGCUCUAUGGGUCGUAAACUUCUUUUAUAUAAGAAUAAAGUGCAGUAUGUAUACUGUUUUGUAUGUAUUAUAUGAAUAAGGAUCGGCUAACUCCGUGGCAGCAGCCGCGGUAAUCUGAGCGGGCUGGCAAGGC
rnacentral:rRNA from 1 species